AGAGUUGAUCAUGGCUCAGGACGAACGCUGGCGGCACGCUUAACACAUGCAAGUCGAACGGAGAAUAUUGAGUUACUUAGGUAUCUUAGUGGCGGACGGGUGAGUAACACGUGAGCAACCUGCCUCUGAGAGAGGGAUAGCUUCUGGAAACGGAUGGUAAUACCUCAUAACAUACAUCUACCGCAUGGUAGAUGUAUCAAAGAUUUAUCACUCAGAGAUGGGCUCGCGUCUGAUUAGAUAGUUGGUGAGGUAACGGCUCACCAAGUCGACGAUCAGUAGCCGGACUGAGAGGUUGAACGGCCACAUUGGGACUGAGAUACGGCCCAGACUCCUACGGGAGGCAGCAGUGGGGAAUAUUGGGCAAUGGGGGGCAACCCUGACCCAGCAACGCCGCGUGAAGGAAGAAGGCUUUCGGGUUGUAAACUUCUUUGACGAGGGACGAUAGUGACGGUACCUCGAAAACAAGCCACGGCUAACUACGUGCCAGCCGCGGC
rnacentral:rRNA from 1 species